AGUGAACGCUGGCGGUAGGCCUAACACAUGCAAGUCGAACGGCAGCACAGUAAGAGCUUGCUCUUACGGGUGGCGAGUGGCGGACGGGUGAGGAAUACAUCGGAAUCUACUUUUUCGUGGGGGAUAACGUAGGGAAACUUACGCUAAUACCGCAUACGACCUACGGGUGAAAGCAGGGGAUCUUCGGACCUUGCGCGAUUGAAUGAGCCGAUGUCGGAUUAGCUAGUUGGCGGGGUAAAGGCCCACCAAGGCGACGAUCCGUAGCUGGUCUGAGAGGAUGAUCAGCCACACUGGAACUGAGACAAGGUCCAGACUCCUACGGGAGGCAGCAGUGGGGAAUAUUGGACAAAGGGCGCAAGCCUGAUCCAGCCAUACCGCGUGGGUGAAGAAGGCCUUCGGGUUGUAAAGCCCUUUUGUUGGGAAAGAAAAGCAGCAGGUUAAUACCCCGCUGUUCUGACGGUACCAAAAGAAUAAGCAACGGCUAACUUCGUG
rnacentral:rRNA from 1 species